rnacentral:misc_RNA from 1 species
CAGCUAUGCUAAAAACUCAUUGCUUCAGGGAAAGGACUGAAAAAACAGAAUAAAACACACCAAGAGACGGACUGCUAAUGGAAACGCCAUAUGCUAAGCUCCACCCACUGUUUCGGUCAGAUGCGCUCAGAACUUAAUUGAAAUCUCCCAUUCAUAAAAUUGGACCCUCAUCAACACUCACUCCUGCGAAAAAAUUUCCUCCCAAAAGAAUCAAACGCUCACAGUUUUCGCAGGGACCAUAACAAAAGCUCGGGAGGAAGAGAAUUUGCUCUCGAUGUGGGCACACGAUACCCAUAAGUUAAAUUUCAAACAG